rfam:Fictibacillus arsenicus strain G25-54, complete genome.
UCAAACAAGCAGAAGCACCCGCUUCUCACCUGAUUCGACGCCUAUAAUUGGCUGUUGAUGGGUAGAUGGAAUUCAGGCAUGUUAUUAGUACAUAGCCGGUUUACGUGUGGGUGAUAUAUGCGCCGACGCUUUUUUUAUUUG